CUCAUUACACCACUUAAAAAAAAAUUGAAUUCUCAUUACACCUAAUAUAGUACCAAAACAAACCCUAUGAUAAAAAACUCUUCAAAACCCAUCUCUUUACACCCAUACCUUUGGAGGGAAAAGAGAACAACGCAGGGCAGAAGAGUAGACAACACCGGCGUGGAGGCGUUCGGACGGCGUGGACAAUUGAACUCACUCUUCUCAUUUGCCAAAGUAAGCAACAUAUAAAUGCUCGUAGUGUGCCUGUACAGCAGUGGCCAUCUGAAUGUGUACGAGGAUACCGUGAGUGGUAUGCUCGUGUUUCGCAUCGGGUUGUUCAAAAUUCUACACAUCACUCUCAGUUUGAUCCACGUGUUCAACGUCCCGAGAAUGAUCUUACUAUGGAUCCUGAGUGGUGUAAUGAUGCUGCUUUCAAUGUUGGUGCUGCAGUCCAUAGGCUCGGUCGUGAUGAGUGUGUCUUGUACCCUGACAUGCUGUAUGAAACCAUUGGUCGUAUGCUGCAAGUUCUUGAUGGACAAAGUUUGGGAUCUACUUCGACACGUACAGAGCAUCAAGUCUACUAUCGUAAACAUCGUAGGAUGGACCGUACAUGAGGAUUGAGAUCUACUUUUUGUUUGAUGACAUAAUUUUGCAUAAUGUCUAGCUCGUAUACAUUUUGGGAUAUAGUUUUGUGCUAACCGUACAUGAUAUUUGGGAUGCAGUUUUUUUUUUUUUAUGGCAUAGUUUUUGUGAAAGCCUAGCUCGUACAAAAUUUGGGAUCUAGUUUUUUUUUAUGACAUAGUUUUUGUGAAUGCCUAGGCUGUACAGAAUUUGGGAUAUACUUUUCCCUAAUGGCAUAGUUUUUGUAGAUCUUUUGUAAACUGGAUGCUUGGUUGGACAAGUAAUGAAUUGUCAUACUUUUGUAAGAAUUUUAAACAGUUUCACAUCUAUUUUGUAUUCAAUAUUUAUGUCAAUGGAAACUUA